UUCAUUUCAUUUUUAUGCCCCACCUACGAUAGUAGAGGGGCAUUAUGUUUUCUGGUCUGUGCGUCCGUUCGUUCGUCCGUCCGUCCGUCCGUUCGUUCGUCCGUCCGUCUGUCCCGCUUCAGGUUAAAGUUUUUGGUCAAGGUAGUUUUUGAUGAAGUUGAAGUCCAAUCGACUUCAAACUUAGUACACAUGUUCCCUAUGAUAUGAUCUUUCUAAUUUUAAUGCCAAAUUAGAGUUUUUACCCAAAUUUCACGGUCCACUGAACAUGGAAAAUGAUAGUGUGUGGGGCAUUCGUGUACUGAGGACACAUUCUUGUUU
rnacentral:lncRNA from 1 species